rnacentral:rRNA from 1 species
UCAGGCCUAACACAUGCAAGUCGAGCGGAAACGAGCUAUCUGAACCUUCGGGGAACGAUAACGGCGUCGAGCGGCGGACGGGUGAGUAAUGCCUAGGAAAUUGCCCUGAUGUGGGGGAUAACCAUUGGAAACGAUGGCUAAUACCGCAUGAUGCCUACGGGCCAAAGAGGGGGACCUUCGGGCCUCUCGCGUCAGGAUAUGCCUAGGUGGGAUUAGCUAGUUGGUGAGGUAAGGGCUCACCAAGGCGACGAUCCCUAGCUGGUCUGAGAGGAUGAUCAGCCACACUGGAACUGAGACACGGUCCAGACUCCUACGGGAGGCAGCAGUGGGGAAUAUUGCACAAUGGGCGCAAGCCUGAUGCAGCCAUGCCGCGUGUGUGAAGAAGGCCUUCGGGUUGUAAAGCACUUUCAGUCGUGAGGAAGGUGGUGUAGUUAAUAGCUGCAUUACUUGACGUUAGCGACAGAAGAAGCACCGGCUAACUCCGUGCCAGCAGCCGCGGUAAUACGGAGGGUGCGAGCGUUAAUCGGAAUUACUGGGCGUAAAGCGCAUGCAGGUGGUUUGUUAAGUCAGAUGUGAAAGCCCGGGGCUCAACCUCGGAAUAGCAUUUGAAACUGGCAGACUAGAGUACUGUAGAGGGGGGUAGAAUUUCA